rnacentral:tRNA from 1 species
AUAGUUUAGUGGUAAAACCAUAGCCUUCCAAGCUAUUGAUGCGAGUUCGAUUCUCGCU